CACGUUUCGUCGUUAUUUGUUCGUCGUAACGCAUAUUUCCUCGCUAAUUCGUCGUAAACUAACGAGAAAACAUUUCCUCGUAAAGACGAAGCAAAGUAUUCGUCGUAAAAACCACGUAACCCUUCCACGUAAGGGGGACGCUACAUUUCCUCGUAAAUACCUUGAAAACAUUUCCUCGUAAAUAACACGUAAAUGUUUCCACGUCAAAUACUCGUUAAUCUUUCCUCGUAGUGUUGACGUAAAUAUUUUACUCGUUAAUUCCUCGUAAAAUUUCCACGUAAGGUUGUUGUAAUUUAGCUACGAAUUUACUUUGAGUUUAUAUUUUCCAGAUUAAAAAAAAACAAUGUCUUUAAUUAUUUAAUAAAAAUCUAAUUUAUAAAUAAUAUUAAAAACGAAAAUAAUUUAUACAUAAAUAAUUUAUGAAUUUAUAAUACAACCAACGAAAAAAAAAAAAAACUAAGGGUCGUUCAUCCCCGGUAGAAUUCCUCACUCCUCCUCUCUACAUCCGCGUCGGCAUGUGUGACGGAUGAUGAUUCGCCUAAAAUUAACAUCAACAAUAAUUAACAAAUUCUAUAAAUCUAACUAAGUUCUCUACAUUAACCACCUAAUCAACACUAAUUAACAUAAAAUCCGUAAAACUAUCUAAAUUUCCUACACUAACCACCUAAUCUACCUAAACUAAUCAAAUUAGAGAGGAAAUAGAGAGCGUACCAUAGCUACAAAAGGGAGAGGAAGUUGAGACGAAAUGGGAAGUGAGAACUCGCGUGUAUAUAUAGGAAAUUAUGAAAUGUCGUAAAUUCCUCGUAAAGUUACGAGGAACUCGUGAGGCCCGUGUUUUUAUUUACGAGGAACUCGCGAGGCCCGUGUUUCGUUUCCUCGUAACAUCGUCGUUAAUUUACGAGGAAUUAGCGAGGCCCGCUUUUAUUUUUACGAGGAAUGAACGAGGCCCGCGUUUUUUUAUUACGAGGUCUUUACGACGAUUUCUGCUUACGUGGAAUUAACGAGUGCCACGUUCUUUAUUUUUAAGAAUCGUCGUAAGUUCCUCGUUAAUUUACGAGGAAAUAACUACGUUUAUGUUUAAAUCCCUAAAAUCCGAAACCCCAAACCCCUUCUUCCUUAUCUUCCUUAUCUUCUACUUCAUAUAUUCCAAACCCCAACCCCAUCCUCCCUUUAACCUCAAUCUCUUCU
rnacentral:lncRNA from 1 species